AUUGAACGCUGGCGGCAUGCCUUACACAUGCAAGUCGAACGGCAGCACGGGAGCAAUCCUGGUGGCGAGUGGCGAACGGGUGAGUAAUAUAUCGGAACGUGCCCAGUCGUGGGGGAUAACGCAGCGAAAGCUGUGCUAAUACCGCAUACGAUCUAUGGAUGAAAGCGGGGGAUCGCAAGACCUCGCGCGAUUCGAUUGGCCGAUAUCAGAUUAGGUAGUUGGUGGGGUAAAGGCUCACCAAGCCGACGAUCUGUAGCUGGUCUGAGAGGACGACCAGCCACACUGGAACUGAGACACGGUCCAGACUCCUACGGGAGGCAGCAGUGGGGAAUUUUGGACAAUGGGCGCAAGCCUGAUCCAGCAAUGCCGCGUGCAGGAUGAAGGCCUUCGGGUUGUAAACUGCUUUUGUACGGAGCGAAACGGUCUACUCUAAUACAGUGGGCUAAUGACGGUACCGUAAGAAUAAGCACCGGCUAACUACGUGCCAGCCGCCGCGGUAA
rnacentral:rRNA from 1 species